UAUCUCCUCUCUACAUCCACCGAUCUGCACCAGAUCUUUUGUGCAGAUCCAUCAGUAUCGCCUGAUGGACGGGCGCGGAAACUGCGCGAGACCUUCUGCGUUGACUAACGUGCGGGCCUCAAUCAUCAGUAACAGUGUUAUUACCACAAAUCAACCUAUUAGUGAAAUGAAAUACUCACAAUAAAGCAUUUUAUUUAACCCGUGACUAAUUCCUGUCUAGAUCAGGAAGUUAAUAAAGUAAACAGGAGCCGAGCGACACGGUGGUGGAGAACCCGGGAAACUGCGGUGGUUCAUCGGUUAGAAAGGCUCCAGAGAGCCGAGAGAAACACGGAGAAACACGGAGAGACACGGAGAAACACGGAGAAACACGGAGAAACACGGAGCGGCAACACUUACUGUUAUUAACUCGCUUCUCUUCUGACCGUACAGGUGAGUGCUUCUCUGAUUGGCCUGUAGGUGGCGGUAAUGCACCUGAAGUUGGUUUGCAGCCGCCACUGACACCCUGUAGAAGAAGAAGGAGAACGUCAACACCGGUUCUGUAUUUCAUUUAAAACCGACCUGCUUUGCUCGUUCAGAAUCUCAGGAUGAGAACUGAAGACGAUCUGCCACCGUUUCCCCGCCCCUCCUGGUCUUGAUCCUGAUCCUGGUUCUGAUCCUGGUUCUGUUUCUUCGUCGCUCCUGGUGGUUCUGUUCGGCCCGUUUGCGCUCCGCGUCCUCAUCAUGGUGGGCUUUGUUUAGUCCAGCUCUCUGCAGCUUUUCCA